AAGAUUAAGCCAUGCAUGUCUAAGUUCAAAUGACCUAUAAAGGUGAAACCGCGAACGGCUCAUUACAACAGCUAUUAUAUACUUGAUCUUGAUAUCCUACGUGGAUAACUGUGGUAAUUCUAGAGCUAAUACAUGCACCAAAGCUCCGACUUUUUGACGAGCGCAUCUAUUAGAUUAAAACCAAUCGAGCUUCGGCUCGCCAAUUGGUGACUCUGAAUAGCUAUAGCUGAUCGCAUGGUCUUGCACCGGCGACGUGUCUAUCAAGUGUCUGCCUUAUCAACUGUCGAUGGUAGUUUAUGUGCCUACCAUGGUUGUAACGGGUAACGGAGAAUAAGGGUUCGACUCCGGAGAGGGAGCCUGAGAAACGGCUACCACAUCCAAGGAAGGCAGCAGGCGCGCAAAUUACCCACUCUCGGCAUGAGGAGGUAGUGACGAAAAAUAACGAGACC
rnacentral:rRNA from 1 species